GACGAACGCUGGCGGCGUGCUUAACACAUGCAAGUCGAACGAAGUGGCGAACGGGUGAGUAACGCGCAAUCAACCUGCCCUUCAGAGGGGGACAACGGUUGGAAACGACUGCUCAUACCGCAUACUGAAGGAGGGGAUUGCGUCUGAUUAGCUAGUGGGAGGGGUAACGACCCACCAAGGCGAUGAUCAGUAGCCGGGCUGAGAAGAUGAACUGCCACAUUGGGACUGAGACACGUCCCAUACGCCUACGCGAGACAGCAGUGGGGAAUCUUCCGGAAUGGACGAAAGUAUGACGUGGCAACGCGGCGUGAGUGAUGACGGCCUUCGGGUUGUAAAGCUCUGUUAAUCGGGACGCGGUACCGGAAUAGAAGGCCACGGCUAACUACGUGCCAGCCGCCGCGGUAAUAC
rnacentral:rRNA from 1 species